rnacentral:lncRNA from 1 species
GAUGGAUCUUAUCAACGUCCAUGAAUGAUAAAUCAUAGAUCGAACCGCCGAAUCGAAAAAAUUGGGUACUAUCAUAAAGCUUUGUAUCUGCUAAGUUCACGAGUUGGAGAUAAGCAGACUCGAACCGCUGACAUCUGCCGCAGGGUAAACCACCACCUCUCAGGUCCCCCGAUUGAUUCUACCAUAGAGGCCAACAAUAGAUAAUAACUCCCCCCCCCCCGAACACAGCUUACAACUUUCAUCGUACUGUGCUCUCCAAAGAGCAACUCUUCUCAAAAUCUCACUCAAAAGGUGUUGUGUUGGAAUCCUAUUCUAACUAAGGAUUCUUGUGGUUCCGGAGGAUCUAACUAUAGGAGAACCAGGAACGGAGGGAUUUUCCCCCUUUCCGCCUGACUCUUUGGUCCUACGAACGCUGGUUUUAAGAAUGAUUCAUUGCCCUUCUCCGACCCUGACUACCCAACCUGAGAGCGGACAGCUAAUACGUUCCACUUAUUGAACAGGGUUCUAUGGUUGGUCUGUGACCCCUGGAUGCUGAAGACAUCCUUGGGGUGAUCUCGUAGUUCCUACGGGGUGGAGAUGAUGGGGUCGGUCUAGGGAUUUUCCUUCCUUUUCUUUUGACACAUUUCGCUCAAAGGGUUGAACGGAGAUAGUGCAUCAAGCUAUUCACAAGGGCCAACUUGAUCCUCUUCCCCAGAGAUCUCAGAUAAGGGAACCCUAAGAGAGCCACCGACUCCAACUACUGUCCAUGUACGAUCCAUAAUAGAUCUAACCAACUGCCCAUCCUACCUCCUCUACGUUCUUGACAGCCCAUCUUUGUCUCUGUAGAGUCUUUUAGUGGUACGUUUCGAUCCUCUUCCCCAUUACUUAGAAAAAGUGAGCCACCGGUUCAGGUAUAAGAUACUAUUAUUACCGCCUUGAAAAUUAGACAUCUAACCCGUAAUCGCAAUGAUCUAAUUGCAAGAGCGGAGCUCUACCAACUGAGAUAUAUCCCCCCGACCAAGUGGAGCAUGCAUGAAGUAGUUAGAUGCUUCUUCUAUUCUUUUCCCUGGCGCAGCUGGGCCAUCCUGGACUUAAACCAGAGACCUCACCGUGAAGUAAAUCAUCGCACCUAUGGUCCAACCAAUUGGGAGAGAAUCAAUAGAUUCCUUUUCAGGAGCAAUUCAUCCUUUUCGAAUGCAACAUACAACUCUCCGUUGUACUGCGCUCUCCAAGUAUGCUUGUUCCCCCCUUCUUCCUUACCCUGGUAAGUCUUUGUAAAAUAACUUCGAUGAGAAGAAAAAAGAAGGCAUUAAGAGACUCUCCUGGCCCAACCCUAGACACUCUAAGAUCCUUUUUCAAACCUACUCCCAUUUCGAUUUAGAGUCAAGAAAAAAAUGGCUCGAAUGGUAUGAUCCCUCCGUCACCCCAGAAUGAAAGGGGUGAUCUCAUAGUUCUUGGUCUGUGAAGAUGCAUUGUUAGGUGCUUUAUUUUAGUUUCCCAUUGAGGACGAACCUAAACCUGUGCUCGAGAGAUAGCUGUCCAUACACUGAUAAGGGAUGUAUGGAUUCUUAAGAAGAGAGGAGCUGUGGUGGUCCCCCCGGACUGCCCGGAUACCACGAGUGAAUCAAAAGUUGGAUCUACAUUAGAUCUCACCCGAAUCGCCCUAUCUAUCCUCCUGAGGAGGAGUUUGGUUUCAGACCCCGGUUCGAACAAGAGGAGUACGCCAUGCUAAUGUGCCUUGGAUGAUCCACAUCUCAGGGUUAGGCGCCGAUGAGUACAUUGAACUAUCCAUGUGGCUGAGAGCCCUCACAGGCCAGGCACAACGAUACAAUUAUCAGGGGCUCGCUCUACCACUGAGCUAAUAGCCCAUCGUGCGAGCCUUCCAAUGGGGGCCCAAUAUGCCAAAAGCGAGAGAAACCCCAUCCCUCUCUUUUCUUUUUUUGCCCCCAUAUCGCCACAUGGGGGGAGCAUGUGGAUGUAAUAAAGGGGGUCCUAUCAACUUGUUCCGACCUAGGAUAAUAAGCUCAUAAUCUUGGUCUUACUUUACAGUUGAGAAAGAAAAAAAGACUUCCAUCUCCAAGUUUAACUCAGAUAUAGCUCCCUUCUUUAUUUGGGGGGUGUGAAGCAGUGUCAAACCAAAAUACCCAACAAGCAUUAGCUCUCCCUAAAAAGGAGGUGAUCCAGCCACACCUUCCAGUACGGAUACCUUGUUAUGACUUCACUCUAGUCACUAGCCCUGCCUUCGGCAUCCCCCUCCUUGCAGUUAAGGUAAUGACUUCUGGCAUGGCCAGCUCCUAUAGUGUGACGGGCGGUGUGUACAAGGCCCGGGAAUGAAUUCACCACCGUAUGGCUGACUGGCGAUUACUAGCGAUUCGGGCUUCAUACAGGCGAGUUGUAACCUGUAAUCCAAACUGAGGAUGGGUUUUUGGGGUUAGCUCACCUACGCGUGAUCGCGACCCUUUGUCCCAGCCAUAGUAGCAGGUGCGUCACCCAGGGCAUAAUGGGCAUGAUGACUUGACGU